UGAGGGCGGAUCACUAGCUGGAAUGUUCUUGUCAAAUGCCCUUGAGAGUAAUGCAUAGAUCUGGAAAACCAUGGCAUUCUGUGGUACCAAAGAAAGCAAAUUUGUCACAUUAACCAGAUUGAAUUGGUGAAAGAGAAUGUGAAGGGGGAAAAGUAAAGAAGUUUACCUGAAAGGUGACAGAGGCAAGGGGAGCAGCCAUGCCCCUGUAGAGUGCCCGGGGACCUUCAGAGCCAACAACCCCGCGUAGGAUGCUGUAAGCCGAACCUGCUCCUGAUUGCUGCUGGCGAAUUCUGAUUGUGUCGAGGGGAUAACCAGCUAUGAUACCGGCUGUUCCCCCAAAUCCUCCGGCCACAAAUUCUUUCCCCCAACUGCUUGCAAGAAACUCCGGCCAGAAAUCCAUCUGUCCUCCCUCGUUACCAUUCCACAACAAAAGCUCCUUCAGCACAGCUUCGGCUUCCCUGCCUGCAAAGCACAACAGAACUAGGUACACACUAAGAUCUCCCUUGUUAGGAUUUAUGGUAUGUAUCUGCUGCCUCUUUCCAUAUCCAUAUCCAAUCUUCCAAUGUAUGAAAAAAUGACUGUGUUGGAUGAAAACAGGGUAUUGUCUCAGAUUUUUUUGUGGCUGGGCUGGGUGGUGAGAUUUUAUUGCUUAUCUAGAGUGUAUGUAAACUGGUUGGUUGUUAGGUAGUUUAGAGGAGAUGAAUGAGUGCAGAGGAAAGGAGAGCGAUUGGUUCUUGAAAACUGAUUAUUGCGGUUUGCUAAAAAAGGGAUUGCCAGAGCCCAGAAGCAGAGGCCACCGCUGCUAUUUUGUUGGGAGCGGGAAGUAUGAGGAAACGGCCAUCUUCCUCUUUCAUUGCGGACCCCACAGGACCACCCAUUUCUUUUUAUUUCUUCCUCACUUUCAGUUUUUACUCCCAUCUUAUUACUGUAAUAUAUAUUAAAAAAAAAACAAAAACAAAAAAAAACCAUUGCAUUCAAA